UGGAGCAUGUGGUUUAAUUCGAUGCAACGCGAAGAACCUUACCUGGUCUUGACAUCCACGGAAGUUUUCAGAGAUGAGAAUGUGCCUUCGGGAACCGUGAGACAGGUGCUGCAUGGCUGUCGUCAGCUCGUGUUGUGAAAUGUUGGGUUAAGUCCCGCAACGAGCGCAACCCUUAUCCUUUGUUGCCAGCGGUCCGGCCGGGAACUCAAAGGAGACUGCCAGUGAUAAACUGGAGGAAGGUGGGAUGACGUCAAGUCAUCAUGGCCCUUACGACCAGGGCUACACACGUGCUACAAUGGCGCAUACAAAGAGAAGCGACCUCGCGAGAGCAAGCGGACCUCAUAAAGUGCGUCGUAGUCCGGAUUGGAGUCUGCAACUCGACUCCAUGAAGUCGGAAUCGCUAGUAAUCGCGGAUCAGAACGCCGCGGUGAAUACGUUCCCGGGCCUU
rnacentral:rRNA from 1 species